rnacentral:lncRNA from 1 species
UGGAGAUAGGUGGGGUUCUCUCUUGUCUCGCUCCAGCCUCAGCCUUAGACAAGCCCUGCGCAAAGGGUGGAACUUUCUCGGCCGUCCUGCCGCUUCUCCCUGUGGCAGCUGAACUCUGCCUGUAUCUGUUGUUGGUCUUGCCUGAGAAUUUCUUGCCCAAGAGAUUUUACACCUACUUUUUCCAGAAUAAAUGGAUCUUUGUGCACUAGGGGCAAGAGGGUGUUUUAUCUCUCCGCAGGUAGCUCAAGGCUUAACUUGGCAGGAGAGAAGUUUCCGUGAAAGUCGGCAGGUUUUUUCCUGUUCUCCACAGCCGCUGAGGAUCUGCUCCAUACCUGUUUCAUCGAGGGGCAUUCUCUCUGAUUUCCUGCCCUGCCCCCAUCCUUUCCCAUGAGCGCCUGGAGAGGCAAACAAGAGCUCGAGAGAGAAGGAUAAAGUUUAGUAAGCAGCUUCAUUUUGAAUAACAGCGAAACUGAGACCUGCUAGAACAAGGGUCAUCUGUGUCAUGCUGAGUAUCACGUGGGGAUCCCUAUUCCCCAAGAGCUGAGAUUGACGAUGCGUGUGUAAGUAACACAGAGGUGCAUGAAGAAGCAAAAUUCAGAGAAUAACACUUUUAGUAUUGGGUAAUUUUGUGUCUUUCUUUCUUUUUUUUUGAUAGUUCUGAAAGUAAAAAUGCUGAUGCACAAAGAGUGAUGGUGGUGUGUGCUGUGUGUUUGUGUGUGUGUGUUUUCAGAGAAUCUGAAGGUAUUGAAGCUAUUGCCAUGUCACAAUGAAGAGGAUGAGGUAUUGUUUUUAGAACUCGUUAUGCUGAACUCAUUAACAGUAGCCGUUGCAGCCAGCACCAGCCUGCUUAGCAAAGGAGCUGGUGUGUAUGAUUCCUUGGCAAGUCUUUACAGCCUGCAUAUUAGUUAUUUGAAAUGAUUUUGUCAUAUUUUUCCUUCUGCUUACCUCAGACACACAACAUGUACACACACACACACACAAACACACAAGCUGAUCUGUAAAUCAUUUCAA